AGGAGGGAGGAGAUGGGCCAAGUUCCCUCUGGCUGGAACGCCCUUCCCCCCCUUCUUCA
rnacentral:pre_miRNA from 2 species